rnacentral:rRNA from 1 species
UACGGGGGGGGCAAGCGUUGUUCGGAAUUACUGGGCGUAAAGGGCUCGUAGGCGGCCAACUAAGUCGGACGUGAAAUCCCUCGGCUUAACCGGGGAACUGCGUCCGAUACUGGAUGGCUUGAGAUUGGGAGAGGGAUGCGGAAUUCCGGGUGUAGUGGUGAAAUGCGUAGAGAUCCGGAGGAACACCAGUGGCGAAGGCGACACGCUGGGCCAUACCUGACGCUAAAGCGCGACAGCAUGGGGAGCAAACGGG